ACGAGGUGAUAUCAGUCAUAGAGAACAACGAGGUGAUAUCAGUCAUAGAGAACAACGGGGUGAUAUCAGUCAUAGAGAACAACGGGGUGAUAUCAGUCAUGGAGAACAACGGGGUGAUAUCAGUCAUAGAGAACAACGGGGUGAUAUCAGU